UACAUACCAUGUUCAAUUUUUCAUGUCAAAAACCACUACGCUGGAGGCGGGGGAGUUGGCCGAAAUCAAGAAAUAACACCACAUUUUUAUUCCUCUCAACCUCAUCUAUCCUAAUCUCUCAUCACUUCUAAUAAAGAGUUAUUCAAAUUUGAAAGUUAGAGCAUUAAAGCUAAGAACCCUAAGCACAAAAACUGAAAUUAAACAGAGAUGAAGGAUAAUCAAGUCCCUAAAUCUUGGUGCUUCGAUUCUCCAAUGCACAAGCUACAUUGUGGUAUCAAAAAUUUAGCAAACAAGGAAGGAUAAAAAAUCGCCGACUUACAAGACGGAGGAUUGCCUUGGAACUUGUUGUAAUUUGAAGCUGAUGAAGAUGAAGAAAACAAAGGUAUGCUUCUUUGAUCUUCUACUUCUUCUCUUUAGUGAUUUAGCUAUGAAAAUGUUGAAUUGAAUUGUUGUUCUUGACGUUGAUUUUUGUGAAUAUAAGUAGUGUAAAAGGUAGGAGUUUUAGCUCAAUUGAUAACAAGCUUCAAUGUGAAACUUGUUCUAAUGGUGAGAGACAAAGAGCUUUAAUGUAGGUUGGAGAAUUGGAGAAGAUGAACUGAGAGGAGAAAAGUUGAAUUCGCAAUGAGUGAUUUGAGAGUGAUUCUGAUUUUGGUGAUUGCUAGCUUCAAUUUGAUGAGAGUGAUGAGUUUAUAUAGAUGUGAGUUUGAACUAUUUCGGUCAUAUUUUCGGGCAGUGGCGGUUGGAAGUUAGGGCAACCAAUAUUUAGGUGAUUCAAUGAACAAAUUGGUUAGUGAUGUUAACAUUGUUAAAUUUUCUGUUAAAUGUUAAUUGAGACUGUUAUGACAGUUGAGGGAUGUUAGAAUAACUCAAUUGUUGGAUUUUUUAUGACUUGAAGUGUUGUUGAAAGUGAAUUAGUGUAGUGUAAUGUUGUUGCAUAAUUGAGCACAAAUUGCAAGGUGUAUUGGACUUGGUUUGAGAGUGAAAACAAAAUUCUACAAUGCUGAAAAAUGCAGUAUUUUUGCUGCUGUCCCAGGUGUAACCGGUUACCUGAUUUUGCAUAUCCGAUUACACACCUAAAAACUAGUGUAAAAAUUCUGAUCUUUGUCUGUGUAACCGGUUACCUGAUUUUGCGUAACCGGUUACACACUUGAAAACUAGUGUAAAAAUGCUAAUUUUUGCAUGUUUAACUGAUUAUCUGAUUUUGCGUAAUCGAUUACAUGCAUGAAAAAAGUAUUUUUUUUUCUCAUUUUCACUAUUUUGUGGCAUGUUGGGACCGCGACUCAUUGUGUAUGUUUUCUGGUAUGUUUUUGCAGGUCUGACUUGUGAUGUGGUAUUGAUCAACACUCUGUCAUGAUGCAGAAACUUGAAUAUGAGGGGCUGAUGGAGAAACGAAACUAGUAGGGUCUAGUAUGAUCAGUUGACUUUGGUCAACCGUUUGACAAAAAAGUCAACAGUUGACCAAAAGUCAAAUGUGGGUCAAAUGAUGUAAAAAUAUGUAAUUUUGUUUUUUUUUACUCUUUUAUGAC
rnacentral:lncRNA from 1 species